AUUGAACGCUGGCGGCAGGCCUAACACAUGCAAGUCGAACGAGUGGCGGACGCGUGAGUAAUGUCUGGGAAACUGCCCGAUGGAGGGGGAUAACUACAGGAAACGGUAGCUAAUACCGCAUACCCUCGGAUGUGCCCAGAUGGGAUUAGCUAGUAGGUGGGGUAACGGCUCACCUAGGCGACGAUCCCUAGCUGGUCUGAGAGGAUGACCAGGCACACUGGCACUGAGCGACGGGCCAGACGCCUACGGGCGGCAGGAGUGAGGAAUAGUGCACGAUGGGGGAAACGCGGGUGCAGCAGCGCCGGGUGCGGAAUGUCGGUCUACGGGUUUGAAACCGCUUUCAGCGAUGACGCGGUAGCGGCAGAAGAAGCAACGGCUAACUACGUGCCAGCAGCCGCGGUAAUAC
rnacentral:rRNA from 1 species